rnacentral:lncRNA from 14 species
GAAGAGGAAAACCAGCUCAGGGAUUCCCUUUUCUCUAUCCAAAGGAAUGAUUGUGACAGUUGGAAUACUCGCAGGCAACAGGGAUUUGGAAACUCCUAAGUCUGGAAUCUCCCUGCGUCCUUCCUUUGUCAAUGCAUGCUGGAGACGCAGCCUGAGGAACAGGUUCUUGGCAGUAAAAAUGAGCCCCCUGAUACAGAGACCUUCAGAAUACAUCAAAGAACAAAGAUAUAAGCGGAGAAAGAGCCCCAAAAGACAUUUUUCUCUCAGCCCCUUUGGCAGCCAGAAAAUAGGUAAAGAAGAGAAUUAA